rnacentral:rRNA from 1 species
GACCUGGCUCAGGACGAACGCUGGCGGCGUGCCUAACACAUGCAAGUCGAGCGGAGACAGUGAGUAGCUUGCUAUGAGCUGUUUUAGCGGCGGACGGGUGAGUAACGCGUGAGCAACCUUUCCCAGACAGGGGAAUAACACACCGAAAGGUGUACUAAUACCGCAUAAGACCACGGAAUCACAUGGUUCUGAGGUAAAAGAUUUUAUCGGUUUGGGGUGGGCUCGCGUCCGAUUAGGUAGUUGGUGAGGUAACGG